rnacentral:misc_RNA from 1 species
AGUCGUAACAAGGUUUCCGUAGGUGAACCUGCGGAAGGAUCAUUAACAAAUCUUAUACACAUAAACCGUUGCAUUGGCCGUUGAUGGUAGCUGUGUACCCGAGAGGGAGCCAGCAUUGCCUGACGCGGAGAGAGACAAGGCGAGUUACAUUGCCUUGCCUCUACAUAAACGUCUAUGUUGUAGUCUAACAGUUCGGUAAUAUUGCAAUAAAAACAACUAUUAACAGUGGAUCUCUUGGCUCCCA